CCAGGCCGCACCUUUAACAGCUAAGAAGUAACAGCUAGCAUUUCGUCAAAUACCUGCAUGCUCCUGAGCUGUGCCUUACCCUCUGUAGCUCAUGUGACUCUCUGAGGACUCCUGAAGUAACUCUUUGUGUGUCAAGUUGACAUAGACUAGCCAGCGCAUUCCAGAGCUUGUGCUUAACAAAAGUGGGAGGCUCUGGGUCGGUUGCCUGAGGACAGUUCCAUAAAGCAACCUACUCCAUGGCAUCUUCUUUGUGGCACCCCAAGCCAAGUACCGGAGUUUGGAAGUAGGAAAACAGGUGCAGCUUGGUAACAGUAUGUAGACACAUGGAAGUAGCCGGGCAACUGGCUAAUGGAUGGAGUCCUGCAAGUCUGAGGUGAGGAUGCCAGAAGUUCUGGGUUCUGCUGAGGGCUUGCUUCCUGGCUGCAGAUAGCUGCUGCCUUCUUGUCCUCAUCCCUCUGUGUCCUUGUGUGGCUUUUUCUUAAAGAGGGAUCUCUCUCUUUCUCUCUCCAUUCCUCCCCCACCCCAACCCUGCUUCAGUUCUUGAAGAAAAUGCCCUCAGUGACCUCAUAGGAAACUCAAUUAACUCCCAAAGGCCAUUUCCAAAUAGUAUCACACUAAGGGUCAGAGCAUCAACUCAUGAAUUUUAAGGGAACACAAAUGUUUGGUCCACAGCACAGGGGGAGGCCUGACCUGGGAAAGCAUGCAGUAUGUGGCAGGCACUUAUUCCUUCCUCCCGUCUUCUGUCUCUACUAUACGCCACAAACAACCAUUUUCUUUUCCAUCUUAAAAGGACUCCCCCUGUAUGCCAAAAUGCAUGAGUGACAUAGGAGCGGCUGAGCGCCGAUUCCUCCCGCAUCCUUGGAGACUUUCUUCAAAUUUCACUUGCUGCUAACUUACGAACAUUUCCCCACAUCAAUAAUAUUUCCCUAAAACUAUAUUUUCAGUCUCUUGAGAAGCCUGAAAUUUUUCAUAAAGCAUCAUUUAUUCAACAAACUUCCUGUUGUUGGAAAUGUGUGUUGUUUGCAACUUUCGAUGGCCAGAUAACAAGGUUGCAGGGCCAGGGAGCUGGCUCAGGGGCUUGCUGCAAAGACACCACCCGGGUGCAAUCUCUGAGGCCCACUGGUGACUGCUGUAAGUUGCUGUCUGAUUUCCAGGUGCACACUUGGAGGCCUGCAGGAGCAGACACAAUAAACAAGCAUGAACACAUAAGUAAAUGUCAUUUUAAAAUGGGAGAUUACAGCAAAUGGCUCAGAAUAAUGGUUAAAUGUUUUGCUCAUCUGUUCCUUUUUCCAGGAUAAAUUCUUAGGAACAGAAUUGAUGGGAAAAAAUAAUGCGAAUAUGUUGCUGUUUUGUUCUGAGACAGCGUCUCCU